rnacentral:lncRNA from 1 species
GGAAAACAAAAAAGUUAACUUCUAGGCUUCUAUUUCUAUACAGAACAAGGAGUCCACACCCAUGACUUGGCAAGAAGUAGAACAAAGAUCUCUAGGAAGAAAGAGAAAAUUACGGGUUGCCCCACUAACCUCUUUUCCCCAUUCAGUUUUGUCCUCAUAUCCACAACUGAUAACAUGGAUGGCUUCCUUCAGUAGAGAUGCUGGGUUCGUUGAGGGUGGUAUGCCUCCUUGAGUCAUGAAGGUGGACGCAAUAAAAAUUGGCGAUUGACCAAAACGUUUCUCUAAUCUCUUCUGGGACAUCAGCACUGACCUUUCAUCUUCAUAACCUAAUGAAUUACAAAAGCAAUAUUAGAGGAGGGAGCCAGCUUGAGUAUCUCAAAAGUCUGUGUAAACAUAAGACUAGAUAGAAGCAUAAUGUUGAUAACACUAAAUGCAGUGGUUGUUCAUAACAUAAAAGAUAAAAGAUGAACAAAGACUAGCACAAACCUUCAAUGCCCUCUUCUAUAUCUUCCAUGUUAAAGAUAGGAGCUGAAGACUCUGUUCUCUUCAUCAUACGGUUUUUGCUAUCCAUGUAGCUCUUGCUCUUUUUCUUUCUGCCACCACAGCAGCUCUUAACAACAAUGUUAGGUUCCAAAUCAGCCUCAGUUAGUACAGGAUCAUAGCCAUACAAGGCCUGCCUAUUGAAGCAGCAACCUGUUCCCACAUAAACUGGACCCUGAAUGCCAUCUAAACCUUUCAUGUUAAUCUGCAAAGCAGAAAAGCAUGUCAGACAUGAAAAUUUUGAUAUGAUGGACAAACAAAGGCACCAUUGUACUCACAUCAAAGAAGACUAUGUUGCGAUUAGCGUAUCGAUCGUGCAAGUCAAUGCCAUCAAAUCUUUGUGGGAACUGAACAUAACAAGUUUUCCUUCCUAGUGCGGGAUCCAUCAUGAAGCACAUUGCUUCUCUAAGAGCUUUGCUACUGUUGAAGUAGUGAUCACAAUCCACAUUGAGAAGAUAGGCACCAUUUGUCAGCACAGCAGAUACACGAAUCUGCCCACCAGAAAUAGGGGUAUAUAAGUAUUGGGUUGAUAAACUUCAGUGAUAAAUUUACAGAAUUGAACACAUACCAAUGCAUUCAUUGCACCAGCCUUCUUGUGAUGCUGGAAUCCUGGCCUCUUUUCACGAGAGACGUAGACAAGCCGUGGCAACUCGUUACCAUCAGUGUCAAGCCCACCACUGUGCCCCAAGAACACCUGUAAUCAACAUAACAGGAGUUUAGUAUACACGAACCUGAUUAAAUUAGAAUCUUAAACCACUCCCCCAUUAGAAGUAAAGAUCACCUGAAUCAUGCCAGGGUGAUCCCUUGGGUUAUUCCCAGGCCAAGCAGUGCCAUCAGCCAUGGUCCACCCCUCUUCAGGUACUUUUUGUGCCUUCGCAACAAGAGCAUUGAUCCGUACCUUGAAUUCUUCAUACUCUCUCUGAAACAGAGUAUCCAAAGUUAAAUACUCAGGCACAAUGCAGAUUGGCGGUAAUCUAACCAUGACAGUAGAAGCUUACCUUCAUUGCCCGCCUUUCUUUAACAAAGGAAGGUUGGAUUUUGUCCUUCAGGUAAUCUAUUUUUUGAGCAAAGUAAAACUCUGGAGCUCGUGGUUCAAUAUUGUGCUUCUUGCAAAACGGAACCCACUUCCUAGCAAAUUCUGCAGUUUCUGACAGAGCCUCAAAAGUUAACAUAGCUGAACCAUCGUCAGAAACAUAGCAUGACACUUUGUCAACAGGGUAAUCCACAGCCAGAAUGGACAAAACAGUGUUUGCUGUGAUCAGAGGAGGUUCCUUUAGUGGAUCCACCGUACUGACAAAGACAUCAAUGGGAGCAAGCUGUGAUGGCUCUCCCUCCCUAUCAUAUCUGCAACAUUAGAUUGGACGCCUCAGGACACAGAAUAUCAAUGUAAGAGAGUUUCAGUGCCACGACCCUGAAAAAAUGUAUAUCAAGUAUCUCAUCUUACCUCAAUGCAAGCCUGUCAAGGUAUGUUUCACGGUUUAUCGGGUACCACUUUGGGAAUUGAUCUAGGAGCCAGGAUAAGGCAAACCAAAUUUCACAGAUAACAGAUACUAGCCACAAUCCAUAAGCAUCCCGCACUGGAUGAGUGACACGAUAUUGGAAGAAGAACAUCAGGAUGAUAAGACGGAGAAUGAUAACAAUCCGGUAAAGGUUGAGCUGGUUUGAAGGGAUAGGCACUAUGCGGCUCAGAGGUAGACGUGCAUCAUCAACCCUGUGAAAGACAAUUACAGAAAGAUCAAUAUACUUGAAGCAAUAUAUACAAUAUACAUCAAACUGCAGUAGUGGUAAAGCAUAGUCAAUGAAAAUCUAUAUCCUGAUCAAACUCAGAGGUAUAAAACUAUCUAAUAAGUCAUUGAAUAACAUGGAGAAAAGGGCAUUCUAAGUGCUUGAGUGAGCUAUCUUCAGUAUAUGCUGAUAUGAUAUACCUUCAGUCUGCGCAUCAUAAAGACCAAGUUUUUGGGUGUCUGAUGUGAAUUUCUAUAAUGCAAAAAUAACUAUCUAAAUCCACUGCAAAGCAGCGUGUAUAAUAUAAGGAUAGGUUGUCCAUACAUUUGCAUAUCUUCACCAUUUGAACCAGUCCCUUCCAUGUCUCCCCCUCUUGCCUCUGGAUAUUUAUUAGCUACCUGCAUCAUAUUUUUGUCCUGCUUGUUCCUCCAGCUGGCAACUCUUUCUUGCCAGUCAACACUGUUAAUCCCAUAGGAAUUCAAGUCCUUGGAGGGGUCCACAAUCCUCACAGGAACUGGAAUCAUAAUAGAGAAAUGUUAGCACUUUCCAAACCAAUGUUUUUCCCAAGGAGCAAUUUAUGAUGAGUAAGAAAAGUACCUGGAACACUUGGAUCAACAUAGCUUGAUGUUCCGCUGCGGAUAGAAUGGCGAUCGGGGGAAGCAUCAGGGAUCUCUCCUGAGAUCUGAAUGAAAAUAUCAGUUUGUCAGUACCCAAGAGCACAGCAUUCUUACAGAAACAAGUUCACUGAUACAAGUGAGAACUUAUAUCAUGUUAAACUGUACCUGUUGCCCACUUGUCAGACGGGGAAUCCGAUGUUGUUCGUGGCGAGAAGAUGAAGACAGGUCAACAUCUUCCCCCUGUCUCUGUAUCUGCCACUCUGGACCUUUGCCAUUGCCAUGCUUAUAAUUGAAUUCAUUGUCCAGGUCAUCAACAUCUUCCUCCUCCUCAUCGCCCUGAACUCUAGGGCUACCUGCAUUUUGUCCAAGGCGGCAAAACAAUCACAGUAUACAUCAAUCAUUUGUCUUUAUGGAAUAAAAGACAGAGUUGGUAGUCUAAUUUUAUAUGUGGAUACAUAGAUAUGAAGCAAGAAUCAAACAUGAACUUAGUAAUGAUAUAUUAUAUGACAUAUAAAUAAUAGAACAGUUGUACAGAAACCAACCUUUGUGCCUCUUGUAUCUAGUCUUGCACUGGGGGCAGCACUGGUUCCCUUCCUUGCGCUCGUACUCGUAGCAAGGGCGGCAGACCGGGAAGGCGCACUCAUUGCAGGCAACAAAGACGUCGCCGGUGGCCGAGACGCCAACAGUGUCGCCACAAAUCUGGCAGACCUGACCAUUCACACUCUUCCCUGGCUUAGCCUGCAUCAAGCAAGAAAACGACAGUUAGUACAUGCCCAAACGGAACUACAGAACUAUUAGUAAUUAAUCACUAACUAAAGAACCAUCUGCUUCGCUUCAAGUCGAAACCAAGGUCCUAAAGCUAGAAAUGGAGGAGCUCUACAAAAGCUGGGCAUGAAUUCCACAGUUCUAAUGAUUCAGCCUCUGCGUCAUCAGUACUAACCAAGCUGAGAUCUAACACAUCAAUGGCACCUCAAAUGCUACCCGCGAAGCCUAGACUGGGGAAUUCCGGGAGCUGCAUUGCUCUAGCUAAAUCCCUACAAUUCCACAACCACCGGACAUUUCCUCACAUGAGGAUUACUCACUAACAAUUCCACACAGGAGGACACUACAAUCGCCCGCGCCAAAUGCACAUAGGGAAAACUGCGGGGGAAAAUCCCCGAGCCCAGCACAAAAAAACAAACGCAAUUUUGCGGGGGAUUCGAUUCGAGAGAUGCGCACCCAACACCACACUCACUCCCUCUCCCCUCACCCCAGAUCCACCACCGACACGCUCUCAUCUCGCUCGCUCAUCGCACGCACGCACGUACCGGCGGUGGCGCGUCGCCGUCGGGGCGGAUCAUGACGAACUCGUUCCGGUUGCGGGAUCCCGCCACCAUCCCCGCGUUCGCCGCCAUCCUCCUCCCCUUCCUCCUCCUCCUCCACUCACAGCGAGAAACGGCUACGCAGCUCGCAGAUCCGCGCGCGCGCGGCAAGCCUAGAUCGCGGCGGCCGCCGGCGACACCACCAUUCGCCGCUCCGCCUCCAGAUCUGCAGCGCCGCCUCCUCCACUCCCCUCCUCCUCUUCAGCUCGCGCUCCACUACUUCCUCUCGCCUCCUCGUCUUCUCUUCUUACAUACGCGAGACACGCUCGGGUUGGUUUCGCUUCAGUUGGUGGGAGUCUCGCCACCGGCUACCGCCGGUCACCCGGCUCGCCUCCUGGCCGUCGGAUGAGAUGAGGGGGAGAUAUCUCGGCCGUCGGAUGAGGGGUGGAGCUGGGCACAGGCUGUCACCCGCUGACGGGGUGGGCCCGGGUGACCGGCGGUAGCGGGUGGAUCUGUCGGCGCCUCGGCGGUGGACGGGAAUGCCCUCCUACCUGCCGCUACUCUUUUUUUUUUGUGGUGUUUUUUGGAGGUAGGAAAGGGGGAAAGAAAUGUGGCAUGUGCAGCAAGCGUGUAACAUGUGAGUUGGCAUCAAAUCGAUGGUGCUGUGAUUGGUGGAUCGAAAUUAUAUGGUGAGAAUUAUUUGCAUUGCCAAGCAUUCUGUGAUAUUUGCAGGGAAGUUAAUUCAAUUCUUAAUUAUAAAAACAUUGAGAACUUAUGUUUCUCGAAUAGCAGAUGUAAUUUGUGUAUUGGUCUAGUUUUCUGCAAUGUUUUUCCGUUCUAAACAUGUUUUGUUUUAAUUUGCCACAGUAUAUAUAACACUUAUUUUGCUGACGUGGACAAGAGAAAAUAGUUGUUUCUUCAUGGAGAAGAUAUACCUCGAGCACAUGACAGGAAAAUAUGAGAAAAAUUAAAGAGGAAUAAUAUUAAGUGCAACAUUGUUAGUUGUUUUGCAUACCAGCUUUUAAGUAGUUUUCUCCUAUAUCAUCAAUAAUAUUACAAGUUUGAAUAUUCUCAAUGCUUUGGAUUGUCAUUCUUAACCAAGGUUGAUGCUAACUUAAGCUUGUGCAUAAUAUAGACUUGGUGCAUUAUUUGAAAAUGGAAAGAGGACCUGGUUAGGGGCUCGAGGAUUGAAAAAAGAAGUGCAUUAUUCACAUGAUUAAAACUAUUCCUCUUCUGAUUUAGGGGUAAGCAAUAUCUUAUAUUAAUUUGUUUGCACUCCCUGAAUCGAUUAAUAAAUCUUUUAUAGAACCUGCUGUGCUUAGAGUACCUAACACUCCUCCCAGGAAACUAAUUUUCUUCUUGCCGUUUCAUCGACCGACAAAUGCAACGUUUUGGCACACAUCAUUACGGUUUUCCACCUUACCUUGGGAUUUAUAACAAACAACAAGAUUGUAGUUCUUUUUACUUAUUUACACCAUAAGCGUAUAGUACAUGCUAUGCAAUUUUUAUUUAAAUUUACAGCAACUAAUAUAUAAAAUCACUAAAAUAAAAGUCCCUGGCUCUCUUUACUCCACAUCCCAUAUAGAUAGCUACUGAACUCCCCUUUGUUUUCAUCAUUGCACCUCAAAGAUUCACAAACUGAACAUAAUUAAUUUGUGAUGCCAGAUGUAGAUUAAUUAAGCAUGCAUUAAGAGGAAAAAAAAUCAGACCAGAUUAUAGGGAGCCUGUCACUCCAAAGUUAACAAGAACAAAUGAGAUGUGCUGACUUGUGCUUUGCAAUAAGCACACUGUCAGGUAAACCGUUCUUGUCCCAAUAAUGGCGGUUGGGCUGCCACUGUCCUGCCCGUCGGUGGCCUCUUUUCUUUAUUGUUACUUGCAAUAAUCACUAAUAUAUAUUUUUUCUCCUUCUCUCUCUCUGUAAUCUCUCCUAGUUUCUUUUUGUUCCUCUAACCAAAUUGGAAUCUUCACAUCGCAUGCAUGGAAAAUGAUUUGCCAUCGGCUUGAUGGUGCUGCUGUAUUUCUGUUACACUGUUCGACACGAAAACUUCAGUUUGGUUUGGUACUGUUGUUGUUCAUCAUAAACCCUCACUUAUUUUACUUCUUUUUUAAAAAAAUAAUAAAAAUGGGUUACAUCUCCGGCCUCUGUCCAUAGGCAUACAGCUAAAAAAUACAUCUCACUUAUUUUACUUCUAGGAUGCAGUAACAAAUACAUAGUAGAAAGUGUUUUUUUUUAAAAAAAAAAACUAGUUGCAAGCCAUGUAGCAGUGAAGUCAAAGAAACUGACUAAACAUGACAAAAAAAUUUCUCUUAACUUGCUAAAAUCUAUCUGGUGAUUUGUGAGGAACAGCAUGGAGGUUCAGGCUCUACUUUGUCUGCCUCUUUUGCCCUUGAUUACAACAGUGGUACUACGUACUGUAGUGGCUGGGAUUAUGCUGCAACAACUAAUUGAAGUAUUAAAACGAGUGUUGCUCUUGCCUGCAGCCUGGUUGAUGGUCUAGUCUAAUUAACCCGUGGAUUAGUAUUAGUCCUGUCGAUUAUUAGCUGUCUUGAGGCCAGGGGCAGCAACCACCGCUGGUGACGCUAACGUGUCUCUGCACCGCUGGUCACAUGCGAAGUUGGGGCAAAAAAAAAAAAAAUCAAGGGCAGAAACGCAACGUGGGGGAAUAUUCAGAGUUGUCUCGUGUACGUACUCUACUACUCUCUGAAGAACAGAACUGGACAGUGUACAGAACGGUCAGCAUCCAGUUAAGUUAACUGUUUGUACGCAGAACUGAAGAGGAAUUUCUUCGAGCAUGUUGCUGUAACUAAUUCUUGCGUGUGUAUCCCCAGAGAUCUGUGUAUUUUUGUUUAGAAGAAGAAUAAGAGAGGGAGAAAAAAAAAGAGUGGUCAUCGGUUUGAUUUUGAGUAGGGUAUAUAAACUGGCAAGCAGUUUCUCUGUGUGAUGAUUUUUCAUUUAAUUUAAGUUUAUGUGAUUCAGUUUCCUUCUCUAGUUCUCUUGAGUCGUCACAAGAAAAUAAUUUGGAAAGAGAACGGAAGCAAAGCAGAGAAGACGAAGGCCUCAUUUGUCCUUGCUUAGAUGGACCGUUGCUUAGAUGGACCGUGAUUUUAGCUUAUGACCCUGAAUUAGGAAUAAGUCCACCUUGACCCCCUUCAUUGGUGGUCGAAUCUAAUUCCUAUCUCUGAACCACAGUAUCGGAUCUUUAGGUCCCCAACUAUUAAAACUAGUGUAAUUUAAUUCGCUUGGUAGUUUUGGAGGGCGGUUGCGCUGACGUGGCGUCUAUUUGGCGGUGUUGACCUGAUCUUCGUCCCAGCCCCCAGGUGGCGUCGACGUGCCGCUUUAGCUCCCACCCCCUACAGACGGGUGAUGGGGAGAGAGAGAAGGGAAAGAGACAAAGGAAAAAGGAAGGAGAGAAUGGGUCCCACAGAAUUUUAAAAUUCUAAUACCACACAAAGUGAUGUGUUAACGCCAUGUAGGACGAAGAUUAUAUCAACACCGUCACGUUGUUGCCACAUCAGCAAAACAGUCCUCCAAAACCGCAAGGAAGUUAAAUUGCACCUGUUUUAAUAGUUGAUGAGUUAACAUAUCCGGUAUUAUGGUUGGAUACGAAUCAGAUUCGGCCACUGGUUAAGGGAGUCAAAGUGAACUUAUAUUCCGAAAUGAAAUGAAGGAAAUCUUGACCAGCCCAACUUGGACCCAGGGACAGGCCCAAGGCCCGGCCCACAAAUCCUCGUAUCAUUAUCUCUUGGAAUAAGUUCACCGGUGGUCCCUCAACUUAACAGCGAGAUUUGUUGAGGUCCCUUAACCAUAAAACCAGAAAUGUGUACUCCUAAACUUACACAAACCGUGCACACAAGAUCCUAUGGCAGUAUACAUGGCCCCACAAAAGUGCGUGGGGCCCACCUGUCGGCUGCACAUCUAUUUCCUUUUCCUUUUCUUCUCUUUUCUCUCUUCUCUCCUCCCUUCUUCGGGCCGGCGGCGGGCGGAAUCAGCGAGCGCCGAUGCGAGCGGCGGGCGAGCGCGGCAGCAGAGCGGCUGUGAGCCGCGGGCGGAGCGGGCGGAGCGGACGGCGGGCGAGCGUUGGCUGUUGGACGGGUGGAACGCCACGGCCCAACACGCUAGCAGUGACGCCCCCGCCAUGGCCGCCGUGACCAGGCAUGCGUCGACGGCGCCGGUGCCGGCCACCUUGCUGCCACGAGCGCCUGCCGCCACCGUCGGCUUCUCGUCGUCGUCCAUGCCGUGUACGUGGAAUUAAUGGUGACAGGAAAAAAGAGAUUGAGGAGAUAGAUAGCGAAUUGAGAAGCGAGAGGAAUGAAUUGAAGGUGGUCAAUGGCGGCUUAUUAGCUCUGCUUCCUGUAUAUAGUCUUGUACUGGUGUUGGUGUGAUGUGGUGGUUUACGUUAUUGCCGUCGGUGGUCUGCGUCUUGCCGUCGGUGGUGUUCGCGACGGCCGGAGUAGGCCGGCGGGGCUGCCUGCGGUGGGGGUGCAAGAGUCCCGGGCAGAGCUCGAGUCUAGGGGAGGAUGGCACGGCGGACGAGCUGAAGGAGCAGCUACAGGGCGCGCUCCAGGAGAACGGGCAGCUGAAGCGCGAGCUGCAGCAGUACACCUCCGAGAAGAAGGCCUCGGCGAAGACGACGGACGCCGCCGACGCGGCGGCGGAGCAGGCCGAGCACUGGAGAAAGGACACCGAGACCGCCAUGGCUGCGGCGGCGGUUUAGGGUUUACGGCAGUCCGUGCCGCGAGCGCGCUCCGCCCGCUGCCUCCGCUCUGCCGCUGCGCUCGCUCGCCGUCCGCUCCGCCCACCGCCGCCGCCGCCGCUCCGCUGCUUCCGCUCUGCCGCCGCGCUUGCCCGCCGUCUGCUCCGCCCGCAGCCCGCCGCCGCUCUGCUGCUGCGCUCGCGCACAACCGCGCUCGCCGAUUCCGCCCGCCGCCGGCCCGAAGAAGGGAGGAGAGAAGAGAGAAAAGAGAAGAAAAGGAAAAGGAAAAGGAAAAGGAAAGAGAUGUGCAGCUGACAUGGGCCUCACGCACUUUUUUUAAUUUGUUUUGCUGACUAGGAUGCCACGUCAGCAAAACCACCCAUGUAUACUGCUAUAGGACCUUGUGUGCACGGUUUACGUAAGUUUAGAGGUACACAUUUCUGAUUUUAUGGAUAAAAGACCUUAAAAAAUCUCGCUGUUAAGCUGAGGUACCAUCGGUGAACUUAUUCCUUAUCUCUUGUACAGUUUCUACGAAGCAAGCAUGACAACUGACAAAGAUGCAAAAUUGAACUGACCUUCGCUUGUUUGGGCAUACAGGCCGUGUUUAGAUUCAAAUUUUUUUCUUCAAACUUUCAACUUUUCCGUCACAUUAAAUAUUUGGAUACAUGCAUGGAGCAUUAAAUAUGGACGAAAAAAAACCAAUUACACAAUUUGCAUGUAAAUCGCGAAACAAAUCUUUUGAGCCUAAUUACGCUAUGAUUUGACAAUGUGAUGCUACAAUAAACAUUUACUAAUGACAGAUUAAUUGGGCUUAAUAGAUUCGUCUCGCAGUUUACAGGCGGAAUCUAUAAUUAGUUUUAUUAUUAGUUUACGUUUAAUACUUCAAAUGUGUGUCCGUACACUUAAAAAAAAAUUGUCACACGAACUAAACACAACCAAAGAAUCCAAAAGUAUUUCACUAGUUCAUGCGCCAAGAGGCAAGAGGACUAGUGUGUUGUACCAUGAAAACAAUAUCAUAACUUUCCAUCCCAAGAAUUUUUUUUAGCAGAACUAGAAUCUCACUUCAGAUCAAACAACAGCAGCAGCAGCAGAGGCAGCAAGAUAGUAGAAAUGAAAAGGGAAAUGCAGGCUAUUUUGUUACUCCUUCGAGCAAAGCUGGUCAAACAACAAUGAUAAAUGCCGACCCUAAACUACAUAUAUAGCCACUCUCACUUGUUAGCAACCUCUCCUAGAUUCUACCCCUACCACAGUCCACAGUGCAUUCCAACCCCUAAAGCAUGUUAUAACAAGAGAAAACUUAACAUAUCAAGCAGAAAACUUGAGAUGUUUUUAGCAUAGAUGAACCAGCUGUUAUAUAUAGUUACCACUUACCAACAAAAAAAGAACAUGUUAAAAAUCCCAGGAAACUUUUCAUGAUUCUAGCUGCCCAAUGCCCACUAUGCCUUUUCGUCUUAGGUUCAUAUUUUUGUUAGCAACGCUUCUUUAAGUGUUAUAGGAUGAACAAUCUAUUAAACGGUACGUCAAAGGCAAUAGUAUUUCUAGGAAAAAAUCGCUUGUACAAUAACAUUUCAUGGAACUCGUACUUGUCGAUGAUAUUUUUUAAAUUGGACACUUAUAAAUGGUAUUUCUUGAAUUUUCUCUCCACAAAAGCAACUUCGCUGAGAUUGAUCAUGAUGCCUAGGUGCUGCCAAACCAAUUGAAUGGUAGGCAGGAAGACCAAAAGGAUAUGCUUUAUUGGACAAAGAUGGUGGAAAUGAAACUAACAGACAGACACUUUAUUUCUCAAUGACCGUGCACCUCUUUUUAUUUUUUCUUAUGCAAACUAUGCACAUCAAUUAGUAGGAUCAUCAUGGAUUAUUGUGAUCAGAGGCUACAUCAGUACAGUACAUCACCACCUAAUGUUUUGAAUCCUUAUUGGGAGUAGGUUGCAUAGUUGGAAUUGUCUGUACCUAGGGACAGGUAAAUAGCAAGGUCAGUACUAAAAGACACCUAAUUCCUAACCACAACAGAAGGAGAGCACAUCCUCACUUUCACUGACAGGUGGCGCUCAUGACCACACAUCUUUUGACAAAACAUGGUCUAUAUAACUGCCUUUUAUUGCUAAAAUUAUCUCUGUUCACCCUAAAGAUUGGCCUACCUUGUCUUAUAAACCUGGCACUAGCCUACUAGGUGUAAAGCAGAUCAGAUAAAAAUCGAUUACCACUCAUGAGUCAUUUGCCAAGACCUGAAGACCCUACCUAACUAAUUCCACAUUAUACUCUGUAAUCUGCACAUGUACUCUUGUAGUAAUCGACACAUAAUCUAAGCCUGCAUCUGACACAUGUUGCAAAUUUCUGACUAAGAAAUGCUCUGCAUAUGCAUUUUGCUAGCAAGGUGGAUGACCAUGAACAACAUUCAGACAAACACUAGAGCAUUUUCGGGUAAACAGCACUAGCUUAUGUCAGUAGGAAAGUUUCCUGUGUGCAUCAGCUCACAAGGUCACAAGGAUGGUUAGCAGGUCAGGACUUCAUACAAAUAACUCAACUAGCCAACUAGGCAUAAAGGAAAUAUUAGAAGUAAUGAAUGAUCCAUGUGUUCUAUAGAGCCAAUAUCUUACUAUCAGAUGACAGCACUUUAACUAUUGUUAAAACUAUCAUGCAAGACAAACCGCCAGGAGUUGGUACUUCUACUCAGAAGCAAUUGGCCAUCAUACACCAAAAAAUUAACGAUAAAGAAAUAAUGUAAUCCAAAAGGUUGACUUUGACUCAUCAUAUACUAAGUCAUCCAUGCAAUCACAAUCAUUUAUAUGACAAUCCAAACAUAUCCAAAGUCAUCCAUGAAAAAUCGCGUACAUGGUAAUGAAACAUUCAAGCUUCCUAGCAGUAGUUAAUCCAAGCUUAGAAUGUUUCUACAAAUCUACAGAGUAACUUUAAUCUGCCCGCCAGUUCUAUUUGCUUGUUUACUUUAAAGAAAGCGUUUUCCAAUCAUGUAACCAGCAUCAUAAACCACAAAGAAUGCUAGAAAGAUUGCAUAAUACACUAUGGAUCCACUGAGUAGCUAAUAAGUGAAUUCGAAGGUAAGCUGCUUAAAGGUAUUAAGUACAUAAGGGCGACAGUAAUUCCUAUGCUGAUUAACCAGUAAAUCAAGGGUAAGCAUGUAGAUCACAUUCAGUAACAGUGUAGUACCAACCUUGAAAUAUAGCACGUAUAGUACCAAAUAGAAGCAUCACUUGCACAUCAUAAUAUCAUGCUCCUGCACAUUGGCAUAUACAUAUACGCAACAAGUCUGCUACUAUAUGCAUAUAGUAAACACUUUGACAGAAAAGACAACCAUAAACAGGUCCUGAUUAUGGCUGCCAAUAUAAACUGAAGAGAAAAAAAGAAAGCAAGAGAGAAACAAGCAAACAGCAAGCACUAAACCUUACAAGAUAUCCAUUGAUGAACUUUAAGCCUCAGAAAGUUCUCUAAGCCUACCCAUUUGUUUGGAAAAUAUACAGCACACUAGUACCUUCUGGGCUUGGGAGGCUGUGAGGGCUCUUCCUUGCUAAAGAUGCCGCAGAACAAGCAGCGGGAAACUUUGGGUGAAGGUGGAUCCAUAGCAGGAGGAACAUGCCGAGUUCGAAAGGCCUGGUUGCCAGACCUGCUGCGCUCCACGCUAUCGCUGCACCUUCGCUGCACCUUUAUACUGGAUCCAACGCUACGAGAGUGCCUUAGCUCUUUGGAUUCUAAGCUACCAGCCUCUGCAUCACCAGUUGCCCUUUGAUCACUCUGGUUCUGGUCUUCAGACAUAAGCCUCCCAUCCCAGACCAAACCUGAUGAACCAGACCUCCUAAAUGUUUGGGAAGAUCUCUGGAGCCCUCCAAUCUCCAUCUCCCCUUUCUAUGGCUUCCUAUCACUGUGUGUGUGUGUGGGGGGGGGGGGGGGUGAGCACCUAGUAAGUCCUAUGGAGCAAUAAUACGGACUGCAGUAGGAGAGGAAAUGGUGCAUUCCUCAAACCUAAGAAUAUGCAAGCAUAUAAAAGGAAGGGUAACCAUAACAAAUUUCAGGAUGAGUCAGAUGAUGGUGACAAGGGGUUAAGGAGAUUGUAAGGUCUGUCUGCAUAAUGCAUUGAUGUGAAUCCAUGAAUUAUAAAAAUAGGUCCUUUGUUGCUCUGUUUGUUUACACAAGCGGUGCUAGUUGAAACACCGCCAUUUUGGUUGUAACAUUUUAAGGACUAAGGGACAUUAACCAACAGUAAAUAUUAAAUGCAGAAAAGCAACAGUGCAGCAAGUAUCAUGAGACACAAUUUUCUUUGUUUGUACUAAAAAUCACAAGGCACAGUUUUGUUUUUAAGUGCCUAUGGUCCCACCAAAGAUGCCAAGCUGUUGUCAGUGUGAAACUUCGUUAAAAUAGAUAACAGAAAAAUGUCACAAGAGUUUACCCUCCAUAGUUCCCAGCAUAUAAUUCAAAGCUGAUUUUGAAUUUUAAACAUGAUCAUUACCCACUAAAACUCACGGUGUACAAAAUAAUCCACUAUAUUUUUCUUGGAAAUCAUGUUCUGUUUGAGAAUGUCCCCACUCCACCAAAUUGAAGCAAAAUAUGCAAGUAAAAAAAGAAACAUACUUGUUCAAAUAAAAACUCACAACAGUUUUACAAAACUCAAAGGUAAAACCGUGCAUCUACAGAGUUUCAACAUUAAAACAAAGAAAGGUUAACUUCGAUAUAGCAUCAACUAGCUUUUGCUAUGCUUUCUAGAAGAUAAUGGGGUAUGUUCUGUUAUUCUAUAAUAACAGGCUUCUCCUGGUUAUUGAAAAACAUUACAUUUGUAUGACAUCUAGCUAUUGCUUGAGAUUCAAUCAUUUCUAUUCACAUGGCACAAACUGAAUAUGUACGGCACUAAGGCAGAAUGAAGGUUAGGUUACGUUAGGUAGAAGAAACUAGUAGAUGAUUCAAAAACCCCUGCGCUACUGUCAGAUGGCCAAGAAAGAAGUUACAUUCUUACAGCAAUGCUCCAUUAAACCAAGAUUUUAAGUGAUGCAAAACUGAACAUAUGGUCAAGCUGCAACAUAUUCUGCUAACAUUCUUCACAACAUAAUAGUUGUUCAUCUAACUGGUCAAAUACUAAUACAAUAUAAGCCCCUGACUUUUGAACCAACACAGGAAGAUCAUUUGCUAAAAAUAAUUAUAAAACAGAAGGCAUCAGUCUUGUCAUUAGUCCAGUUGCAAAAAUUUCAGCAUAACUUGCAGUGAGGAGGUUAUUAUCUAGAAUUAUUUUUGACCGUCACAAAAAAUAUGAAAUAUGUGAAUGUUUAAAUGCACGCAAAGUCAAUGUAGCAUCACCUUACUGUUAUAAAAAGUACAAGUUGAGAAAAUUAUCAUAAAUAAUAGCAGAACAGCAGGAGGCACUUAGGCAGGUAUUGUUAAUCCUAGCUUUUAAAGCAGCAGAGGGCAUAACCUAAGCAGCCCCAUGCAAAUAAGGCCGAUGCUUGUUCCUAAAAGUUCAUAGAUAGUACUAUCAUUUUACCACUAAAUUAAAGUCAAGAUCUUAGCAACAUGAAGUAACUAGUGGAUUAACAUCAUUUACCACUUACAAAGCAAAAUUCCUUAAUAUGGAUCCCUUCUUCAUCCGCACAUUCACUGGCAGGUUAACUCAUAAGAAUUUGUUCAAAGAAAGUUGUCACUAGACCUUCUGUGACCUUUUGACUGAAUUGCUUUCAUCCUCAAAAAAAAAAAAAAAACUGUUGGCAUCAUCCUAACCAAGUAAAGCAGAAAUCUCACUGAGCUGCACUUUUACAUAAACACUUGCUAGGAUAUGGUCACUUGCCAACAGAACUCCUACUCUUAGUCAUGAGAAGCUCGGUCAGAGAUUUGGGCCCCUCAAAAUCAUCUGAGAAGGAUCUCACAUUAGGCGUGCAAGCAGUGGAGUGGCUAAAACUUGAGUUGGAUUUACAUUUCUCUUCUUUUAUCUGAGCAAGGGUCUUCGGCCCAGUAAAAUCUGCAGUAGGAUGUUCAGAAGAUUUAGCAGAAAGAACAUGCUGUUGCUUUCCUCUAUUUUUCUUCCUCCGUCCCCUGAAAGUAGCAUGGUUAGCAGGUUGAGGACACUCUCCCAUCAAAUAAUCUUUCCUUUGACGAGUUGGCAUUGAUUCAAUCUGUUGAGUACUAUUCUUGGGUUCAAGGCAACGGCUUCUCUUAAUGCAAUCCUUCUUUCCCUUUGCACCUUUUCUAUUCUCAGGUCUUCUUUUUGAGAUGUGUCUAAUCUGGGUGUGCUGAUGAACAAAGUUAGUAUCUGCCACUGAGCUGGUGAAGUUUCUGGGAUUGAAGAACCUUCUGUCAUAUUCAUCAGAAGUGACCUCAGUAUUUUGUGGUAGUAAAUGCCCCAAAGUGAUCUCACUUUCAUGCUCAUGAGCUCCGUUAGGCUGGCAAAGAUAAAGGUAACCUUGCCGAUCAUCAAGACCACAAAAUUCUGGUUCAUAGUUAUAGUACUCUGGAUCAUGGUAAUACAUAUCAUAAAGAACUGGAUCUCUAAUACCAUAUUCUGCAUGAAGCACCUUAUUAUCACUCUCUGUAGUCAAUUGAUGUUCAAGAUCACUCUUGUUAGAGAGGCAAUCAUCCACAAGCACAUCAAAUCCAGGAGAGGAAUCACGCUCAUCUUGUUCUGUGUGGUCCAUAGUUGAAUCUCCUGAAUUAAGAUCUGAGACUGCGGAACAUUUCAUGUAUUCAUCUAUAUCAGUUGAUGUUUCAAGUGCACCGGAAACAGCUUCAGCUUCACCAAAUUCAGGAUUGAUUGACACAGGAACUUCUUUUAUAUGGCAAGAGGUAUCUUGACAGGGAUUUGUGAUAGUGUCUUUCGAUUCUUCAACCAUCUCAUCUCCAACAUAACUUUUACUUACAGCAGGAUUGGAAGUGGUAGCUUUACAAGAAGUUCCCACAGCAUCAUUAGAAGUUAGAGGCUCAUGGAGGUAGGGGCAAUUGUCACCUUUUGAACAGUGCGAGUUAUAGUAGAAAUAACAAGGGUUAGCUGCCUUGACAGAAGUAGAACACAAUGAGAGUGGGUCUGCUAAAGAUUUGGUUUUGUUUAAGUUUUCCAGUGGCUGCACCGAAAGGAGCUAAUCAGAUAACACGCAGCAACAGAUGAGCAAUGAUAACAAAAAUAGCAACGGUGUCAUUCAAAAUCACAUAGCUGGAAGAUCUAAUAAGAAGAUAGGGUUCCAAUAAUCAGUCAAAUCAUUUCAAUGCAUAACAUUAGAGCAUAAAACUGUGGACAAGAAAAUUCAAUCAAUACUUCUGAGUUACUUAACAAAGAAACGGACCAUGACCAACCACUCAUGGUUGUAGUACUGAAAUACCAAAACUUGAUCUCUUAUUUGUCCAUUUGGCUCACUAACAUAAACAGAGACAAAAAAAAAGAAAAAGAAAGUUGGGUCAAUUGGCCCUUUGUUCCUGAAUUUUCCUCAUUAGAUGAGAGCAGUGGCCUCCAAACCGUCGGGGGCACAACACAAAAUAAAACUACACUGCGACUCAUGUGAAACAAAAAAUUUCAUAACAUCAUCGCUAUGGCUAAACUGGCAGACAGGCCCUCAUGCAAGAUGGACUCAAGGGUUGGAGCUGUACAUGGUGGCAUCAGGAAAUGUACAAUUGUUAGUAUCAAGCAAUUGCUCACAGGCAGACAUGUUAUCCCAGAACCAAGUCAUCUUAUCCCAACAUUUUCCUCAAGUUUCGUGGUUCUUCCCCCAUCCAAGUUAACACGAUAAAUGUACAACAAUGGCAUCAAUCACCACUAAUAACUAGCAAAGCAAAGUAUGAAUCCUUGGCAUCCGAUACGAAGCGAAGGGUAUCGAACCGAGUGACCGCGGAUUACUCACGGGGUGACGAAAUGUGCAGCUCGGGUUGACGCAGUUGCCCUUGAACCAGUACCAGCAAUUCCGGCGGUUGAACCGGGCGCCAUCGGCAUGGCGGUACUCGCACUUGGACCCCUGCAACCAAAAACCCACGCGCUCAAUACGCGGCGCGCUCCGGACGGAUGAUCAACCAGCGGCGGCAUCCACCGCCAUGCCGGAAACGCGGAAUCCGUGAGAAGAAAAAAAGUGAGCUAGGGUUUUGGGGAAGUUGGGUGGACUAGUACCUUGGUGCAGGUGAAGGGGGAGGCGAGGAAGUAGACGCAGUCGGUGUUGCACCUCCUCCAGCGCGGGUCCUCAUCGCCCUCCGCCGCGGCCGCCAUUGCUCCACUUCCUCUCUCGGCUCUCCUCUCCUCUCCGCGGGAGGAGGGAUGAGGAGGAGGCGGCGGCGGAGGAAAAGCGGAGCGCGACGGCCGGGGAGGAAUGGAGUGGUGGGUCCCUCUCGGUUUUUGAACUUGUCGAUGCGUGGAGUGGAGCCGUGGAGCAGUUGAACCGGCAGUCUCUCUGUGCUUAGAAUGCCGGUGGGUCACGCUCCUAAAUUUUUCACCUUUUCUCACAGAAAACUUAUUUUAGGCCCUAUUUAGUCCCCACACAAAAAUUUUAUACCCUAUCACAUCGAAUGUUUGAACACCUACAUUGAGUAUUAAAUAUAGGCUAAAAAAUAACUAAUUAUACAUAUUGCGACUAAUUUGCGAGAUGAAUCUUUUAAGCCUAAUUUCUCCAUCAUUUGACAAUGUGGUGCUAGAGUAAACAGUUGCUAAUGACGGAUUAAUUAGGCUUAAUAAAUCCAUAUCACGGUUUUACUAACGGAUUCUGUAAUUAAUCUUUUUAUUAGUGCCCGAACACCCCAUGCGACACUCUAUAUAAUACCCGAUAUGACACGCCAAAACUUUACAUCCCUGGAUCUAAACACCCCCUUACAAAUAAAUCAAUAAAAAGUAAUUCUAUAAGUGGAUACUAUUCACAGUUUUCACGGCGUUAGCGUCAUUAACGCCGUCUGUUCCCUCACGCCUCCCCUCCCCCCCAAUUGAAGCUAAAUUACUGAUGUGAAUGGAGAUGCGCUAAUGUCAUUUGCACCGAUAACCUAUUUGUAGUUCUUUUGAAACAUAACCUAUUAUUUUAUUACAAAUAGAUCUUCAGCAUCAAUUUCAUUGGCAUUGAGUUAUUUACAAAUAGAUAUUUUUUGAAUAUUUUUUACAAAUAGGUCUUCGGCGUCAUAACAUUAUCACCAUCUUCUUCCAAUUAGUGACUUGACUUCCACGGUAGACAAGAAGGAUGACGCCAACAUCAUUGAUACUGUCAUGUUAGCUCAUGGCGCUAAGGAAUUUGACGCCACGAAAAGGAUCCAUUUCUAAAAGGGCAAUAUAAGUUUUUCAAAAGAAACCUCUGGCCUAUGUGGGUCAAUUUGUCGUGUCCUCCCUCCCUCCCUCCCUCCCAGAAAACUUAUUUUGGAAAUUGUUAUCUUCUUCAGCUAUGCUGGCCGCAGCAAAAAAAAAAAAAUUGAUCCAAUCAUCAAGUAAUACUGUGUCUUCCCUGGAUUGAGAUCGAAUGAGCUGAUGGCAGACGCUACGUCUUGAGUUCCCAGAAUAACAAUGACAUGCAAGCAAUGCUGUUUACACAAUGUCAUUGGGCAGGAGAAAAUCAAUCCAAUUUACGCUUAUUAACCGCGAGGAAAAAAAAUCAUCCCUCAAUAUGCUGAAACGAGAGGUGAUACAGCUAUGGAUUCGCAAUGACAAAAUUUCUCCAACCCCAAAUAUUUCAGUAUCCAUCUAAAUCUCAUUUUCCAUCUAACAAAAUGGAGGUACAUGCAGUUAGCGAUGACAACUCUUCCUGCGUCGCAGAUCCGAAACCUUGCCACCUCACUCUUCCGAGGCGAUCAACCAGGUAUAUGUACCUGCAGUAGAAGAGUUUGAACAAAGGGAGAGAACAAAACAUAUAAACGAAGGGAAGGAGGAAACAUCGCCCAGUAUGUGGUAACCAGGACCUUUACAUCUAAAGUUUGCCAAACGAACAACGGGAAGGAAGAAACAUUACCCAGUAAGAAGGUUAAGGAUAUGAAGCUUCUUCCUGAAAUAAUAGUGGUCACCAAAGGCAUAUACAGCAUGUCUCUGUGGAUUGUUGGAUUUUGUCAUCACCUUGAGGAAUACUUGUCUCACAGGACUUGAUGAUAACAGCCAUGAAUCAAUAAAUGAGACCUGAACCAUAGUUUUUUUUUCCCUUUCAGUUGCAGCCAUGUGUAAUGUACAUAAAUUUCCUCAGCAAUAUCAAAAGUUCUAAAUUUAAAAUUGCCAAGUAUUAGCAUGGUCGGCUUGUCGUGGUAUUCCAUCACAAAUUACAAUAUUAGUACAGGGUUCCUUUUGUGUUGACAGUUAACACGAAUUAAUUGUAAAGUGUAAACAUGGGCAUAGAUUGAAUAUUUGAAUUGCAUAAAAAAUGAACUCGUAAUACUCCCUCCGCCUCAAACUACUGGUUAGUUUGUCCUAAGUCAAACAUUUAUAUCUUUGGCCAUCAAUUUCUAGAAAUUCAUAUAGUAUAAUAUCAUAGGAUUUCUAUUUUUAGAUUCAUCAUGAGAAAUACUUUCUAAUAUAUAAUUCACAUGCUAAACUAUACGAAUUUCUAGAAAUUUGAUGGUCAAAGAUAGAAAUGUUUGACUUAGGAUAAAGCUAGAAUGACAAGUAAUCUGAAACAGAGGGAGUAACAAAAACUACACAUUAUGGCACUAUAGUAUAUUUGCAACCCGAGAUCAUCCAAGUGAAAUGGAGAGGAGAGCUAAACAUAGAAGCAGAUACAAUCUGUUCUGUUUAUUUCUCUAAUCUAUAACUAUCAGGUUUAUGUACUUAUGUAAUAUUGUAGGACAUGUCAAACAUCAUUUAACUAAUUAUGUUCCUCCUUUUCUCAGUGGUGAUUCGCAUGGACUUAUGGCAUAAGGCAGUUCACAGCUGAUAACCCAAAUUAUGUUCAAAUACCUCAUACACUUGAAUAUUCCCAGCAGAACUAAAUGCAUCAAGAAAAGGUAGGCUCCACGUUUCUGCCAUUUUCUGUUGAACAGGAGGAAUCUAGUUAGCCAUAGAACAACUGAGUGUAUAAAAAAUCAAACAAAAGAUCAACAAGAAUGGAAUUGGCAUGUAUGAAAAUAGCAUAAAACCCAGUUGGUUGAACAUGCGUAGUUGUAGUUAUCCAUUGGAAUGCUUGAUGCAUUUGUCCUUUUAGAACCAGAUAGUAAUAGUUAAUUUAAUUCCAUAAACUAUUUCGCUGGAGUAAUUAAUCCCCUGAUUAUUUUUCAUCCACUUUGCUCAACGAACUAUUAUACCAGGUCACUACUUUGCUAAUGAAUUUUGUCUUCUUUUCUAAUUAUCAGGUUUUCACUUUAAUCAAAAUGUUGUGGGAUGACGGACGGCGUCACAGCGCAUGUUACAAAAAUAAUUUCAGAGUUUUUCAUGUCUGUUUUAGAGGAGUCCUUUUUUUUCCUUUUUUUUUUGGGGGGGGGGGAUGAACCUUAUGCAGAAGAGAGAAAAAAACUGAGCAUAGACAACAAGAGAAACGGAAACAUUAUAGCUUGAUCUAGUUUGCCAAUUUAAGUGGGUAAGAGAACCAGAAAUGACAUCAUUUUUGUUAUAGCAAGGCUUGGCUCAAGUUAGCGAAGCUAUUGUGAAAGAGAUAAUCCAAGAAAUGCCAUUGACAAGCGUCCAAGUCCCAGAAAUGCCAUCGACAAGUGUGAGUUCCAAGAAAUGCCAUCGUACAAACGACUUUGUCCCAAAAAUGCCAUCGCCGUUAGGGUUCCGUCCAUUUUACACCGUUAAAUACACUGUUCAUCCUAUAGAACUUAACGGCGCAAAAUGGAUGGAACCCUAACGGCGAUAGCAUUUUUGGGACAAAGUCGUUUGUACGAUGGCAUUUCUUGGAACUCACACUUGUCGAUGGCAUUUCUGGGAUUUGGACGCUUAUCAAUGGCAUUUCUUGGAUUAUCUCAUUGUGAGAUGUUAACUACAGGUUGAUCUUAAAUUUGCUAAGAGAAAAUAUGCAUUUAACAAACCCAACCAAGUGUUGCUCUUUUCUUUUUAAAAUCUAGAGGCUGCUCUAACAGCAGCUGUGCAAUAUUCAAAAUUUUUUUUUUGAGGAACACUAUUAAAAUUACGAAAUACAACCAUCUAAACCAGGAGCUUUAAAUUUCAGUAGGUAAAAUGUUCAUGAGAAAUGACAAACAUUAAGAGGCAAAACAAAGAUUAUUUCUGUACAAACCCAUUGGUACACAUUCAAGACAUACACUAGUCCAAGUGCUUACAAAAAUGGAAAGACAAUUAAACAAGCUAUUCAUUAACUCCUGACUUUAGUAAAGAUAUAAGUACAUCUCGUUGAAUCAUAAUGUGGGUGUCUAGCAAGUACUGUAUGACUGAAAAGCACAACCUCGUAAGCCAUGAAGCGUGUAUCAAAAAGUGCAAGCAAGCCAUAUACGACAACGAUGGGAACAGAUAUCUGAUAUACAGAUGGGAAAUCCGUAAAUGAAGAUAUAAUUCACCAUACCUGGGAGCUUGCGCGAAAGGAAAGGCACACCAAUGAAGCAUCAGGAACCACCAUAUCACCAGCCUUACAAUCAUCAUUUUGUGUGUCCACUGUAUUGCCAGUCUGGGGAUCAUCGUUUCGCGGAGGUGCGACAAGCGGCAAAUUCACUGUCCUGCCAUCAGGGGACUUCACAGAAAGAUCAGGGAACUUCACGGCUGCGAUUUCCGGAAUGAUGAUCUUAUUCGCUGUCGCAAGCUGCACAAUCCACGCCACAACGAAGAGUUGAUUAAACCUCAUCAGCAGCUAAAGAUGACGGACAUCUCUACCCAGCAUUGCAACAUAAACACAGUGAAACAGAAUAAUCUUUACGACAACAUAUGCACACCUUGCCGCCGUUCUUGCGUAUCUCUGCGAUGUCGGCGAAGUACCCCCUGCUCAUUUCAUCCAUACUGCACUAGAACAACAGUUAAGAGAGAUCUUAAACAUCACAAUUCACACAUUUGCUCCAAAAAUUCCAUGCAGUACUAGCCCCGAUUGCCAAAGGUAGUGGAAGUAGCCUUACAGCCUGGCCUUAUCCUUCUCCUUCUUCUCGAUGGUCUCCUUACUCGCCUUCUACCCACCACCAAAAAAAAAAAACACAACCACCCCAACCCAUCAGCCGCCGCUGCAGAGAGAAGCAAGUAGAGGAUGAGACACCAGAGAGGCCAUACGAACCAUGUUGAGGCCGAGGAAGCCGCGCGCGAAGACCGCGCGCGCGGCGAGCGAAGCCUCGCCAGAGCUAGCGCGGCGCAGCAUCCCCGCCGCCCACCGUGCCCUCAUCAUCGCCGCCGCCGCCGCCGAUCUAACCGGUGAAGAGGAGGACGGAGUAGUAGUAGUAGUUUACAUGGGCCGCCGGCUAAUCUCGUUAUGGGCCGAACAAACAAAAAAAAAAUUCAACUUUACGCUAUCGCAGUUAGAAGACGUAAAAUAACUUUACGUAUUCGCUUCUGUUAUUGUGCCCGUGGUGAUAGAAACCGCCGAUCCGGAUUCCAAAACCGGCGGCGCAAAUCACAAGCGAAGCAAAGCAAAACACGCCUUCGCCUUCGAUUCGAUUCUUCUCCACUCCGGCCAUGGCGUCCGCCGCGUCCUCCUCCUCGUCGUCGACUCAAUUCGAGUAAGCCCCCCUCCCCAAUCUCAUCCUGCUCAAAGAUCUCUCGCAUCUCACGCGUCGGUGCGCUUGAUGCAGCGAUGCGGCGGCGAGGCGUCAGCAGCAGCUGCAGCAGCAGCGGAAGCCGCCGUUGCUGAUGCUGCUCCCGCUCAUCUACGCCCCGGUGCUCCCCCUCAGUACGGAAUCGCGAACCCCUGUGAAAUUCGUGGUUUGUUUGCUCGGAUGAUCGUGCUGCUGAUUUAGGGUUUGCGGGGUUUUUUUUUUUUUCGUUGUGAACAGUUAGGAUUGGGUUGCGGCACAACCCGGUGUGGAGGGAUCGCCUCUUCUACGGCGUCCUCGCCGGCGCGUUCGCCCACGGCACCUACCUCAUGUAAGUGUUUGCUACAUUGCGCACCCGAGCUCCUGUAUGCAGCUAUGCACCGUGUAUUUGCUUGUGAUGGUUCAUGUUCAUGUAUGAUUCGUCAUUCAUGUACAAUGCCAGGUUAUUGUGAUUGAUAUCUCCCUGGUUUUAUUAGCUGUCUGAUAUGCACGAGGUAAAGCGAUGUAUUGUUCUGAUUACUUCGAAGGGGAUGUGUAUGUGUUUGUGCCUAGUUGUUAUCGGUGAGGCUUCUCAGAAAGGGUGUAAUUCCGUUAGAAUACGAUAUGGCAGCUGUUGAGUUUUUCAGCACGUGUAGUAUGUAUAUAUGGCUAAUAUAUCUGUUUGUUAAGUAGUAGUAUAUAUGAUAGCUAUGCAAUGACCUGUUCUCUGUUUUCUCUAAUACAAAUGCUUCACGCGGACUGUUGUACCAUAAAUGAUUUCAAUGUCUGCCGCUUGCCAAAAAUCUGUAGUUGUGAUCACUGCAAAGGAACUAUUUUUAGUUCUUCUCCCAUGCUCACAGAAAACCUUGGGGGAAGAUUUUUGGAACUCAGUACACAACAACAGUUUUAUAUUGCUUUGAGUAUAACCAAAAUUGAUGUGAUUGGGUGACUUGGCGAGUCAGCCAUUACUGAUUAAGCACAUGAAGCAUGGAUUCUUUAGUAGAAUUUAAUCUCAGCAAUCUUGACAAUCAACUAUGGUGGUAUAAUCUUCUUUACAGUUUUUUCCCCCGAUUACUGCAAAGGGAAGACUUGAUGUAUUUGCGCCUACUGCCUAGUUUUCACUUAGGAUGUUACUAGUAAGGGUUGUGAUAUUUUGGCAAUGAAUUGACUUGUAUCACAACACUUGAGUGCUUGUACCUUCAUAAUGUGAGUUUGAGCAUGAGGAAAGGUAGAUGCAUCCAAUCGUAGCAGUAUUUUGUUUUCUGCUUCAACCGAGUUGCUGCACAUGGUUUCUGCCAUUAUAUGGUUCCAGACUUUUUGGGGCUUACUAAUGUAAUACUGCUGUGGAAGUGUGGAGUUGAGGUCACUGCAGAGAAAUUUUAGUCUAGUGUAUAUCCACUUUAGAUAUGAAUUUAGUAAUUGAGUAUUGACAGAUUUUAUAUAAAAGAAGGAAGUUUGGGCCUAAAUAACUACUCCCGCCGUUAUUAAAUGUUUGCUGCUGUUGACUUUUGGGCAUGAUGUUUGACCGUUCAUCGUAAAUGUGCAAAAAUAUAAGGCAUGCUUAAAGUACUUUUAGUGAUAAAACAAGUCACAACAAAAUAAGUGAUAGUUUUUUGAAUAAGACAGAUGAUCAAACGUCAUGUCCAAAGAUCAACAUCACUCAUACAUUUGAAAAUGGAGGUAGUAGGCCAUAAUUUUGGGCAUGUUACUGCUUGAUUGUGGUGAUCAUUUGAUCUCUGCACAAAUCUAUUCUUCAUAUCAUGCUAGAGGUUGGGUUAUUGAAGCCAUAAAUAUUCAACAAUAUGUCAUUAUGGUGAGCCUGUCAUGUUUGAUGGUGAGGCAAAGAAUUUUGUUGUUGACUUGUUUGAUGCCCUUCCAAUGUUUUUAAAACUUGUUCUAUCCCUAUCAUUGAAGUAAGCAGAUAUACCUUCUUCGCAAGGAUAAGCAUAGGUUACUCUAACGCCAUAACAGAGGGAUCUAUUGGGAUGUUAAUUAACGUAAUUCACAAUAGAUGUGCUUAUCUUCUUAUCUUUGAUGUACUUUCAGAUCGGAGCUAUAUGACGUAGAGAGCAAGUGAAUCAUAUCUCUCCAAGUAUAAAGUCAAGGGUAUCCAUCGGCAGAUUUUGACUUGAUUGUAAGUCAUCAACUGUUAAUGAGAGCUGUCCGGUUUUUCAGGUUGAUAAAAUGGACCAUGUAUCUAUCAUUUUUGUUAAUCCAUUUAGGCUUUUAUGGUUGCUGUAAUGAUAGAAUAUUGGAGCACACAUAAUAAUUCUGACUCUGGAGCAACAUGUCCGGCAUUUUUUUCCAAUUUGAUGCACUUGUGUUUUCCUGCUUAUAUUGAUUUGUCAUAGCCACCCUAUUUCUAUUCUAUCCAACAAAAAAUAUUUUUCUUUUCCCCUUUUAUUUAUAUGUAGCUAUAUUUCAAAGGAGAGCAGUUUCAACAUGUACGAGUAAUAUGAGAUCGCUCUUAUCAGGCCAUGUUUAGUUGGCCUGUGUGAUGUGCCAUUUUGUCCAGCUGAUCACGUUGUGCUGUGUUGCUCUUAACUCCUUGGUCUUGACGGUACCAAAAAUUAAUCCUAGAUGCAGAUUAUUAAUAUCUGUCUAUACUGAUGAAAGAAACGGGAACUUUGCCAAGCAGCAGCUGUUAUAUAUGCAUGCACUGGAUGGAUAUUUCCUUGAGCUCCCGUUGGACAAGAAAUGGUUUGAGCUCCCGUUGUUUCCUUGCUACCCAUGAGGCCAUGACAUAUCGACAUGCCCUUCCUUGCAAGUUCCUAACAAUUUCUACAAAAAGGAACAAUGAUUAAACAGAAGGAUUCCAAGCCUUCCUGUUCACUCCUGUCUGAAGCUUUUCGAGGUGUUUAGCAAGAGAGAAGAAAGUCACUGAUAUAAAAGCAAUUGAUCAUUUUUAUCACCCUAAUUUUAUCCAAACUAACAAGCGUAUCAUUAUGCUAUAAGCACAUUGUCGUAGGCAAUGAACACAAGAAUGAUUCCAUGUUGGCUAUAGCUGAAGCAUGGUCACAUUAGUUGAGGCAGGCUUUGCAGGCUGCUAAUAAAAUACGAUUUGGCCAAAGCUAAACAAAGCUGCCGCACGCGAUGGCCGGCCGGCCACUUGCCAACCAGUUGAACAUUUUUUUCAUUCUGCAAUCAGGAUUAUAUACUGAACAUGGAGUAGAUUACUCACGGGCAUCACUAUAAACGAGUGAUUAAAUUAAUCAAGGCAAAGUACGGCGAUGGCUAUUACAAACAGAUGGAGGUCAGAUUUGAUGCGAUGCGAUGCUUCACGGGAGGCUUCGUGUGUCUGCCUUUUGAGUAUAGAUCUGAAAUCUUGGGUGUAGGAUUGAGAGCAACGGGUUUUUUGAAGGAAUUUUGUAGAACUUGAACUAAAUUUGUGUAGAACUUCUGUAAAUCUAAAUCUAACGUGUUCGUUUUCAAUCCUUGGUGUUGGGAUUGAGAGCGACCAAGUUUUUGGAGGAAUUUUAUAGAACUUUGAAGUAAAUUUAUGUCAAAAUUCUGCAAAUCGAAGUCUAGUGUGUGCUCGGAAAGAUCAGUAAAGCGUAACGAGGAGAUGGUUUGGAUUGCAGCUUCACGAUGGGGACAAUAAACAGAUAAUAUAAUCAGUGUAGCAGCAUUAUUAUUCCGUUUGUUCGGGAUUAGUUUGUACUAUUAUUGUUGCUGAUGCCUGAAAGGGACAUGUAAUUGAUAAGCCUUACAAAAUGAACCUAACAAUACAUCUCAGAAUGGUGUGGUAGAUAUCACAAGUUCACAACCUAAUAAUAAUCAAAAUGAACCUAACAAUACAUCUCAGAUUGGUGUGAUAGAUAUCAAAACCUAAUAACAAUCAAAAUGAACCUAACAAUACAUCUCAGAUCUAUUUAAGAUCAUCAUCGGAGAGCACCUUUAAUCCGUAAUUAAUCAAAAUCACACCACACUAAAUCCGCAAUUAAUCAAAAUCACAACACAAACUACAAUACUCAUAGUGAAAUUGCUGAGACAUGGAUUGGAGAUCAGAAUUGGAUCCAAUCGAUUGGAAAUGAGCAGUACAACAAACCUAAUGGAUCUGAUGCAUCAUACUUCGCCACAAGCGAGUAGAUCUAUCUCAGAUCCAGAUUACAUUUCAUCUCGAGAUUACAAUUCGGGAGAAAACGCAAGAAAAAAAAAAGCAGAGAUGGAUGGAAGCAAGGGAUCAAUCCUAAAAACCAGAUCCCUUCUAAAUUCUUCUAAAUUUCCUCCGCAACGAGACGAAUCCCACCCCGGAUUUUAUAUACACGCCAUCGCGGCGACGUCGCGAGCUGUGGGCUCCAUCUCCCUCCUCCGGUGGCGGCGGCAGCGGCGCGCCUAGGCGGAGCGGGCGAGGCGGGAGGCGAUGGCGGAGUGGUACAUGGCGUCGUGGAAGCUCUCCGUCUCCACCAUCCUUGCGCGCAGCUCCCGCGCCUUCUCCUCCGUCAACCCGCCCACGAAC